CAGAUAUGGAGAUAUAUACACACACGUAUCUGAAAACAUUCUGACGUUUUAAAAACGGAGCACCAGAGGAGGGGGACUUCAUCUGACUUGUUCAGCACUGUCUCCCAGGCCCUGGCACAGAGGGAGCACUCGAUACACACCGAUGGGCUGAAGGUGUGAAUGGAUCUGGGGACUAGAGUGAUGGUUAUUUGGCAGACAGCAUGCCCCGCCUGGGCAGUAGCCGUGAAGACUCUUCUUUUCCUCUCCUCGCCUGCACUCUUUAGGAUUGAACAGCAUUGGUUCAAUGCAUAUUCUGGGAGCACAGAGAAAAAAGGGAUCAAGUUCCACCAUUAUGCAAAAGGGACUCCUGUAAGCCAGACCCUGAGCCGUUGUCAAAACACAGCUUAAUCCCCAUUCCCUGGGCCCGAGACCCUGCAGCCCCCACGCUGCCCGGCUUCCGGUCUUAC
rnacentral:lncRNA from 1 species